rnacentral:misc_RNA from 1 species
UUAUCCAUGUCUAACACGAUAGCAAGUAUGUGUGAGUGAAAAAAGACAGAUAGGCAGCGAGAGGACAUAAAUCUCAAUUAUUUUCCUGUUGACAUCAACUCAAGCUUAUUUACCCAUUACACAAGUGUCGGGCAACAAAUACAACAAAAUGCAACUUCAUAAUUGCCAAGAAUCUCAGUUUCUUACCUCAUUUUCUGAAAGAUAUCCGUCAGGUACGAAAAAGCCAUCUUCAUCAUCAUCUGUUGAACAUCCUUCCUCUAAACUUUCCUCUAAGCUUGCAGAAUCAUCAAGCAAGCAACAAUGGCAGUGGGUGAUCAAUUACAAUCAGCUGAAGCACAAAAUCAAAGAAUCCUUAAAUGCCAACUCUCUUUUAUAUAACCUUUCCUUAACUGGGAUUUGGUCUACAGGUGAGAGCAAUGCAUGUGAAAGCCUGUUGCCCGUCCACUGCAGAAUCAGAUUUUUUGGGACGACUGCGGCGAACUCUCACCAGAUGGAGGCAAGCACCUCUUUGAGAA